AACUAACCAGAGAGCUUUUAAAUUUUUUCUAGCAGGUUUUCUGACUUUGUUCAGAAAAUCCAA
ensembl:snRNA LOC120096775 U7 small nuclear RNA